AUGCACAUACUGGCUCUUGCAUCGUGUCCUGGAAAAAGGUUUGCCGCCCCUGGCACUAGGCGGAUUGGCGAUCCGCGACCUACACCGCACCGGCAUCGCCCUUCGCACACGUUGGCUUUGGCUAGCUACAUCAUACUGGCCCCUUGCGUGCAUGGAAACAUCUCCACCUGCCAUCCGAUCCCGAGGCUUCUCCACCUGCCAUCCGAUCCCGAGGCUUCCCAGCUCUUACGCGCCUCGACAACUUGGUCCCUCGACGAUGGCAACACCUGCGAGUUCUGGCAAGAUCAUUGGCUGCAUGGCAAAUCCAUUCCUGAGAUUGCUCCCACCCUAUCCUCUUUCAUCCUGAGGCAGCGAAGGGGACGGCGACUCGUGCGUGAAGCUCUCACCGCCCGCGGCUGGAUCGCUGACAUUCACGGCAACUUAAACCCUAUGACAGUCAUUGAAUACAUCCAAUUGUGGAGAAUGCUCCAAGGAAUCGAGCUCUCUGAGGAGCCGGACAAGCUGUCCUGGCGAUGGACUGUCGACGGCAGCUACUCGGCACGCUCCGCCUACCAUGCACUGCUCCUUGGGGCUACCAACGCGCCAUAUGACAGCUCAUCUGGAAAACAUGGGCCCCCUCCAACGUGA
rnacentral:rRNA from 1 species